UUGGGGGAAGACCACCGGGAUUGCCCUAGUAACGGCGAGUGAAGCGGCAAGAGCUCAAAUUUGAAAGCUGGCCCCCUCGGGGUCCGCAUUGUAAUUUGCAGAGGAUGCUUCGGGAACGGCCCCCAUCUAAGUGCCCUGGAACGGGCCGUCAUAGAGGGUGAGAAUCCCGUCUGGGAUGGGGUGGCCGCGCCCGUGUGAAGCUCCUUCGACGAGUCGAGUUGUUUGGGAAUGCAGCUCUAAUUGGGUGGUAAAUUUCAUCUAAAGCUAAAUAUUGGCCGGAGACCGAUAGCGCACAAGUAGAGUGAUCGAAAGAUGAAAAGCACUUUGAAAAGAGAGUUAAACAGCACGUGAAAUUGUUGAAAGGGAAGCGCUUUCGACCAGCCUCGCCCGCGGGG
rnacentral:rRNA from 1 species